rnacentral:rRNA from 4 species
UCGACCUCAAAUCAGG